UCUGUUCUUCGAAAUUAGGUCUCCAAAAUGUGACGAAGGAUGAUACAAUGCACACCCUGUACCAUGUUGCAGGAAGCCGGAGCCUAGCCUAGCUGACUACGCUACACUCUGGAUUAAUUAUCAGUCAGUCUCAAGGCACCUUUCGAGACGGACAACCAUUUCCUCUCACAUUCCAAACAUAUAACACCGUCACUGAGUGGAAACUGAUUCCACUCUGGCUGUACUGAAGUGAAGUAAUUUCAAUCUAUGAAAAUCUAUGAGAGGCGAUCAACUGACAUGAUGACCUGAUGUGAACGAUGACCUAGGCGCCGGUACUUGCAGCCGUCCACGCCUUAAACAUGACCGGUACAUCCCUUGACAUGAGCGUGCAGAUGAAAGGCCGCAGAAGACAGCAGCUUGUCAAAAAGCAGCAGCUCCCGGCAGGUGUGAAGCCGACCAGAAGAACGACAGGUUAUCAUCAGCCUGCUGCAUGAGAAAAUGAGUUGUGUUGCCGUCAAGUCCUGAUGUCUCAUUCUUACCUCUGUUUGCACUCCCCAACUCGCUUCAAAUAUGACAGACGCUUCGUUGUUUACAAAUAGUUGAGGACAACACUGGGUGGCUUGCUCGUAGCAACGUCAUUUUUGUAAUUAUUCAACAACUCAUGUUAAGAAAAAAAAAUGCACUUUGGGGUCACUAUUUUUGUACCCAGCAAAGUGCAAUCUAACUGUGCACAUCGGUGGAGUUUUUUUUAGUUUUGGUAUUUUUAUAGACGGGCGCAGUAAGAAAAUGGAUGUUUGCAUAGUUGUGGGAGCGAACACAGUUGCCAUGAUUUCUGGCCCAUUGAUGUGGGUCCUUUCAGUCACACACAUGCUUUACAUGUAGUGUAAAUAAAACAACCUUUAAAUUGUAUUCUAUUUUAUAACAUUUAAUUGUGCACCAUCCAAUAUUAAACAAUUAAAAAUAUUACACCGUUAUAUUUAUAAUACGAUAUACGCAGUACAGAAAAU